rnacentral:rRNA from 1 species
CUCCCCUUCCAUUUUCCCCUCGCGAGCAGAUGCGCACGGGCCUUCCGGGGGACGUGCUUCGUCUGCUCGUCAAACAACGAACCCCGGCGCAAAACGCGCCAAGGAAAAAUUGAACAAAGAGCGCACGUCCCCUGCCCGUUUUUCGGGUGGUGUUGGCGUACGCAAUCUUUCAUAUAACUGAACGACUCUCGGCAACGGAUAUCUCGGCUCUUGCAUCGAUGAAGAACGUAGCGAAAUGCGAUACUUGGUGUGAAUUGCAGAAUCCCGUGAACCAUCGAGUCUUUGAACGCAAGUUGCGCCUGAAGCCAUUAGGUUGAAGGCACGUCUGCCUGGGCGUCACGCAUUGCGUCACCCACUCCCCCGUGCCUAAGAGGGCAUGCCGGUGCGUGGGCGGAUAUUGGCCCCCCGUUCACAUCCGUGCUCGGUCGGCCUAAAAAACGGGUCCCCAAUGACGGACAUCACGACAAGUGGUGGUUGCCAAACCGUCGCGUCAUGUCGUGCAUGCCAUCGUCUGUUGCGGGUUGGCCCAUCGACCCUGGAGUGCCACGGCA